UUUGUCAGUCUUCAAGAAAUGUUUACGCUGUCUGUCCUAUAGUUUAUCGUUUUUCGAUAAUCAACACGCAAACCUAAUCACUCAAUAGAACACACCUGUGCGAUGAGGCCUCUAUUUAACAUUUAUUUUAUCGAGUACGGAGAUGUGUGCUACCGGAUGUUGCACAACAGACAAACAAGAAGGACAACUCAUACACACCAGUUAAACACACAUUGCGGAGGCUCGUUUGGUGAAAUGUGUUGACGUGACCAUUCCGAGAUUGGGCUUUGAGUUUUCGUUUACCAAUCAGGCA